rnacentral:lncRNA from 1 species
GUAGAUAUGCAUCACACAGCUGCCAAUAAAGUAAGGAAGAUACUGAGCAUUUAGGAACAUGAGGCAUCCAGGAAGAAGCAGUUUCAGACUCUGAGAUGCUGUGCAUUUCCGCCGUAGUUUUUUAAGAUAAAGGAAGCUUUUAUUGAUCUUAGAUGAUUUCCAUUGUAGUGCGCGAGUGUUAUCCACUUAUUGCUGUAAGCAGGAUUAGCUCCAAUGGACAAUAAAGGAAAUGCGGUCAGAUGAUACUUAUUUAGCUUUA